GAGGGUAUAGCUCAGUGAUAGAGCGCAUGCUUAGCAUGCACAAGAUCUGGGGUUCAAUCCCCGGCACCUCUA
rnacentral:tRNA from 1 species